rnacentral:rRNA from 1 species
AGCAGUCGCCGCGGUAAUACGAAGGGGGCUAGCGCUGUUCGGAAUUACUGGGCGUAAAGCGCACGUAGGCGGAUAUUUAAGUCAGGGGUGAGAUCCCAGAGCUCAACUCUGGAACUGCCUUUGAUACUGGGUAUCUUGAGUAUGGAAGAGGUGAGUGGAAUUCCGAGUGUAGGGGUGAAAUUCGUAGAUAUUCGGAGGAACACCAGUGGCGAAGGCGGCUCACUGGUCCAUUACUGACGCUGAGGUGCGAAAGCGUGGGGAGCAAACAGGAUUAGAUACCCGCGUAGUCCCUGUCUCUUAUAA